CGCUCGCCUUUGAUAACACUGGUUUGCACAGCAGAUGGUUGCACUGUUUCAACAAAUGGCUGGGAAUCUGCCAACACCAGCCCAGACACAAGCCCCUACAGCAUAACCACACCCCCAGCUCGGCAGUAUGAGAAAUUAAUGAAGUUUGUGAGUAUCGAGUUUAAAGGAACAGUGGACCCCCUAGAAGCAGAAUAGUGGUUAGAGAGGAUGGAACGGGUUUUCAGAAAAUUGCGAUGUGCUGAAGAGUUAAAAUUUGAAUACUCUAUUUCACUUUUACAAGGGGAUGCUUAUGAAUGGUGGAAAACCAUCGCCCAUAGCCUGGUUGAGCCACCAGUCCUCACUUAGGUAGACUUCCUGAGAGAGUUCAGGCAGAAAUGGGUCCCCGACACCUAUGUAAAUAUAAAGCUGCAAGAGUUUUCAAGUUUGAAGCAAGGGAACAAAACUAUAACAGAAUAUAAGCGGGAUUUCUCUCGACUAAGCCACUAUGCUGAAAGCUUGGUCACCACCCCAGAGACUGGUGCAACAGGUUUGAGGUCGGGUUGAGGCCUACUUUGAGAAUGCAAGUGGUGGGGUUUCGACAUUAGAAUUUUUCUGAAUUGAUUUCACAAGCUUUGGAACUUGAGAGGAUUGAGUUGGAAGGGACAGUUAAAAAAGGUACAGAAGAGAAAGAGAAAACUGGAAAGACUACUGAUCAAGUUCCUGAUAGUAGGUCGGGAAAGAGAAAGUACUUUGGAGGAUCUAACUCACGCGAAUCGGGUAGAAGUAGAUCUUCUGGACAGAAAUCACCCCGAUCCGGUCAGCAAACUUAGCAAACACCUAGAAAUGCACUGUCGGAUCGAUUUUGUGAAACUUGUGAUAAACCACAUGGUGGGGUAUGUUAUAGAGCCAUAGGAGUAUAUUUUAAUUGUGAAGGAACUGGUCAUUUUGCUAAGGAUUGUAUAAGUCCACGCCUUUCUGGAUCAUUUACUACGUCAGAAGGAUUAGCCUAAGUUUCUACCCCAGAGAGUUCACCAUCAGUUAGUAGAGGCAAAGGCAGAAGUAAGGGUAGUACACCUAGAAGUCAAAGUACUGUGAAUCAGCCAGAACAAGGUAAUGCUCUAACUAGAGUAUAUACUAUGUGGCAGAGGGAAUAGGAUGAGACUUCUGACGUUGUUGCUGGUACUUUCUUGAUUUUUAACUAAGAUAUAUAUAUGUAUUGUUUGACCUGGAAUUUGCAUAUUUUUACAUUAGUGUUAGAACUAUAUGUUCUGUUGUUAUUCCUUUACAUGGAAAUGAAUUUUGAUGUAUUAGUGACUAGUCCUUUAGGAUAAAAACUAUAAUAACAAGUAUGAUUGACAUUAAUUUAGAAGAAUUGUUAACUAAAAGUAUUUUCUAACAUGCCAUAAAUUAUAAAGCUAAUUGGCAAGCCUACUUAAUGUAAGGCAAGAGGACCUAAAAGUAAGUUACAGUAAUAUAAUUGCUCUAGAUGAGGGCAAAAAUGUUACUGUUAGUAAUUGUCAAUGGAUGAGGUAAUCAGAAUAAGUUUUGGAUAUUAGUGAAUUCGAAAAGAAUAAAAUGUAGGAAAGUUUGAUAUAUUGGAAUGUAUCGUAGUAACUAUGCAAUGUUCUUGAUGUUUGUACUGUAAGCUGCAGAUUACAGUACUGACUUGAGAUUAUUGUGUAGAGCUACGUACUACCCAAUAGUACACAAGAAUAAGAAUAGUUGCAAACGGCAUCUGUUUUGGUACAGUUAUGAUAAGAUAAAGUUUUCUUUUUAGAAAGGAGUUUGAAAAUCCUAACCUGGGAUUUAAAACUCUAAAGUUAGAAUAUUGAAAGGUUAUAGUUCAGUACAAAAGAAAAUAAUGACUACACAUCAGUGCAAAAUAAGCUAUAGAAUAUCGAUGGAUAAACAAAAUAAAUAAAACAGUAAAAAAUGAGAAAAAUACUAGAUGAGG
rnacentral:misc_RNA from 1 species